GUUUACAAUACAUGUAGAGAAUCAAAUGCCUAUGAACGGACUAUAUAUCAUCAUACACCAAACACACAAAAAGACUACAAAUAAUGGUCAAAAUAGGGGGUACUUAAAUUUUUAAUGAAAGGUAUAAUGUAUAUAUAAAUAUAUGCUUUGUAAUUUUAGAAAGUUUGGCAUCAAUCGUUUGCUUGCUACGCAGUGACAGUAGUACCAAUAUCCACUUAUCAUAGCAGUUAUCCUUAUUUCAAAGAAAAACAUUUUUUUAAAAAAAUACACUAGCUACUUACAAAAAUUUCACUAUAACUCUUCAUAGUAAUUGAAUGUAUAUUAAAGAAUCAAUGGACCAUAAGCCUCAAUUUCACAGAAAUGUGAAUAAUAACUACAUUUUAAAUUGUAAAAAAAACUUUUAAUAAUUAUAAAAGAUUUGAAUCAAUCCAUUCAUUACUAAUUGGUUGAGAACUCAUAAAACUUAAUUAUAGCAAUAAUUGAAUGAAACUUUAAACAUUUUUUUUGGCUCAUGAAAUUUUGAUUUAUUCCAUAAUC
rnacentral:lncRNA from 1 species